GAUGAACGCUGGCGGCGUGCCUAACACAUGCAAGUCGAGCGAUCUUCUUCGGAAGAGAGCGGCGGACGGGUGAGUAACGCGUGGGUAACCUGCCUCAUACACAUGGAUAACAUACCGAAAGGUAUGCUAAUACAAGAUGAUAUAAGAGAUUCGCAUGGAUUUCUUAUCAAAGCCCCGGCGGUAUGAGAUGGACCCGCGUCUGAUUAGCUAGUUGGUAAGGUAAUGGCUUACCAAGGCGACGAUCAGUAGCCGACCUGAGAGGGUGAUCGGCACAUUGGAACUGAGACACGGUCCAAACUCCUACGGGAGGCAGCAGUGGGGAAUAUUGGCACAAUGGGCGAAAGCCUGAUGCAGCAACGCCGCGUGAGCGAUGAA
rnacentral:rRNA from 1 species